ACAGAUUAUCCCUUGGGGCACCCAUAAACUGAGAGGGCUAAAAAAAAAAUAAAAAAAAUAAAAAAAUUAAAAUAAAUAAUAAAUAAAAAUGCCUCACCCUAUAUCCCUGAUGGAGAAGGAAAUGGAUUAGGGCUUUGGAGGAGGAGAAUGUGGGACGAUUAUUGGCCAUGAAAGAUUUGAAGGCACCAUUGGUAAAAGUAGUGGGAACCACUAAGUGUCAGAUAAAGAUGAUGUAAAUUGUUACAACCGGGCCGACAAAAGACUACAAACAUGGCCGCCGCUCACAAACUUACCGGCUACAGCGCCAUCUUCAGGUUGGAUGCCGUCAUGACCGAGGGUAUGCAGGCCCCUCAGCAAAUGUUACCCACUUAAGGUGAACCCCAAGGAACAAAGGGGAAUGAAAAGGUGGAGAGUUGAAAAUGAACAAGAAAAAGAAGGCAUGUGGACAUUAUAUUAUGAACUAUUGUGGUGGAAGUCAUUCUUCUUAAAGUCAAGCAGAAUUGAAGGAGGUGGUGGGAUUGUCAUUUAUUUCCAACCCCCGAUUCAGCAAACAGUUGGUCUCUGCGGUCAAUGUCAAUGAACAAGGCCCCUGGUUGAAAAGACUGAAAUAAGUGAUGAACUGACACAAGUAAAGUAAAAGCUGUCGGAGAUGGACCAGGAAGAAGGACCCUUUAAACCUGAAGACAAGGUGUAUGUAUGAGUUUUCUAAAUCACCGACCGAUGUUCGUUUAGAAGGUUGAGAUACCUAGUACGAUUUCAAUAAUUACAUGAGGGCUGGCCCACAGGUACGAAUAGACAAUAGCCCUGAGGUAAUUGAACAGGAGGACAAAGAAGAGUAGAGUUUUAACAAGAACUUGUUUGACAUCAGUGGUGGGAAAUAAUGGAAAGGAUACUAAAGACAAUAUUAUAGGAAUUUGGAUAAGUGGGAUAGGAUUAGGAAGAAUUAGCAUGGAUUUGUGAUUGUGACAUUUGACUAAUCUUGAUUUUUCUUAAAAGAGGUUAUUAGGAAAAUUGAUGAGGUUAAAGUGGUGAACUUCAGUAAGGCCUUUGACAAAGUUCAAUAAAGGAAAUAAGGUUGGUUAAGAAGUGGUUAGUAAGGAAUAGCAAGAUGGAUUAAAAGUGACUGUUGGGAAAUGUACAGAGAGAUUUAGGUCAUUUGGAAGACUGGGUUGAAACAUGACAGAUGGAUUUAAUGUUGAUAAGUGUGAGGUGAUACAACUUGGCAGGACAAAUUCAAAUUAGACUUACAUGGUAAAUGAUUGUGAAUUGAGGAAUGAAGUUGAACAGAGGGAUCUAGGAACAACUGUGUAUAAUUCCCUGAAGGUGGAAUCUCGUGUAGAAAGGAUGGUAAAGAAAGAUUUUGGUGUGUUGGCCUUUAUAAAUCAGAGCAUUGUGUAUAGAAGUUGGGUUGUAAUGUUAAAUUGUACAAGGUAUUGGUGAGGUCAAUUGUGGAGUAUGGUGCAUAAUUUUGGUAGGCAUAAUUAUAGGAAAAAGGUUAAAAUAGAGAGUACAGAGGAGAUCAAUUAGAAUGUUGACUGGGUUUCAGCAACUAAGAUACAGAGAAAGGUUGAACAAGUUAGUUUUUUUAUUAUUUGGGAAAGAGAAGGAAUACCCACCAUGGUAAUGAUGUUUUCUUAAGGAACUGUUUACUGGCAGUAUCUCAUUCUAUUACAGAAUUAAAAACCAAGGAGCUGUUGGCACAGAGUCCCCAUCUCGACUUGCCAAUCCAUUCUGUGAAAGCAGAGAACUGGGAUCUUGUAAAAUCAUGGAAGGAAGAAAAGCUGCAACCAAAGUGGACUGGACCCUACCUUGUGUUAUUAAUCACCGAGACAGCAGUACGAACAAAAGAAAAAGGGUGGACACACGCAAACCGAUUUAAGGGUCCUGUGGAGGCCCCACCAGACAAUAUCAGCCCGUAGACUGUGCGUGAAGGGAAGGAACCAUUGACUUUGUGCCUAUUCGGAUGUUGUAUUAUUCCCUGCGCUGGCCUUCAGAACACAGUAUGACUAGCGAGAGGAGGAUAGGGAGGCGAAGAAUCUGCUGCUAGCACUAGAAAAGGAAGAUAUAGUAUAAUUCAAAAGAUGCGUAGCAAAAAGAAAAAUGGUGGAUUGUGAGAGAAGGGUUAAUAGGGAUGAUUGAAUUAUACUAGAACUCUGAAAAAUAUAACUUAGAAAGAAAUGAGCUUAUCCGCAGAAGCCAGACUGCUAGUAGAAUAAAGUAACAAUAUACAGAACAGAGAGAAAUUCUAGAUAAAAAGUAGCAAACAGAUAACAACUUCAGCAGAAGGCCUUGGGAGUCUUGACGUCAGGAAAUGGUCCGAGACAUUCCUGGACUUUCUCGUGUGAAUGUGGGCUUUAUGUUAUGAUUGGACGAAACUCGAUGGGGAGACCUGAGGUAGUGACCACAGUGAAGAAGGGUAUAAAGAUAGAAAGCAUCUCCAUUUUCUUUGUGCCUCCAGGGGACAUCAGAGGAGAGACACCUAUUCUGCAGAAUAUGAAAUUAAUAAAAACACUUCUUUGUCUGAA